AUCCUUUGUAGCUUCGAAUACUGCUGUUCCACAUAGAGACCAAAAUUUUAUUGAAAACAGGAUAGCCAAGAAACCAUUUCAGGAUAUACUGAAAUUAUAUUGAUUGGGAAAUUUAGAACCUGAAUUUUUCCUGCUGAAUAAAGGCAUGCCAUCUACCACAACCAGGAAGACUGCUUUUUACGUUCCAUAUGACUUAUGAAUUGUCGCUUCUACUGGAUUCGAAAAAAUUAUUUUAAGAUGACUUGUAGUAAUAGAAAUUCAAGAUCAGUUACAGAGCAUUCAACUUUCACAUGAAAUACGGAGGAAUUCAAGCACGUGUAUUCAGAGAACAUUCUGUGUACAUAGGGAGUCGAAGUAAUCCGGAAUCGGAGAAUGGAAUCGGCAUGUGACAUCCAUGUGUUCAAUUGGGAACCUCUUCAGGAGUUGAAUCAGUUAGUACAAAAAAAUGAUCCAGAUACUCUUCAGAUGUCUGCUGACAUGACUUAACCGAAAUUAGGACAGCGAAAUAAGACUCAUCAAGCUCAUUUUGGGGUUAUAUUUUCCAAUUAUGGAUGGAGA